AUGGCAGCGGUGGUGGCCACCAUGGUGGUCGGACCACUGCUCAAGAUCGUGAUGGGGAAGGCGUCCAGCUACCUCCUUGACAAGUACAAGGUGUUGAAGGGCAUGGAGGAGCAGCAUGAGAUCCUGAUGCGCAAAUUGCCUGCCAUCCUGGACAUCAUCACCGAUGCCGAGCAGGCGGCAACCCACAGAGAAGGGGCAGCGGCCUGGCUCCAGGCCAUCAAGAAGGUGGCUUACCAGGCGAAUGAAGUCUUCGAUGAGUUCAAGUACGAGGCACUUCGUCGUGAAGCAAAAAAGAAGGGGCACUACAAGAAGCUUGGCUUCCAUGUGGUAAAACUCUUUCCCACUCACAACCGGUUUGUAUUCCGUAAAAGGAUGGGGAAAAAGCUCAGCAAGAUUGUGCAGGCCAUUGAGGUCCUUGUGACUGAAAUGAAUGCCUUUGGCUUUAAGUACCAGCAACAACCGCUGCUAGCCAAUCAGUUGAGGCAAACCGAUCAUGUUAUCUUCGAUCCAAAGAAUAUCAUCAGCAGAUCGAGAGAAAAGGAUAAUAAGGAAAUCACUAAUGUACUGAUAAGUCAAGCUAACAAUGCAGAUCUCACAGUUGUUCCCAUCGUUGGGAUGGGGGGUCUGGGCAAGACCACGUUAGCACAAGUUGUCUACAAUGAACCUGAAAUUCAGAAGCAUUUCGAUUUGCUGCUAUGGGUGUGUGUCUCUGACAGCUUUGAUGUGGAUUCUCUGGCUAAAAGCAUAGUUGAAGCAGCUCUCGAGAAGGAGGAUUGUACAAAAGAAGCUGCUUCCAAGAAGAAACCAUUGGAUAGACUUCAGGAUUGUGUGAGCGGGCAAAGGUACCUUCUUGUACUGGAUGAUGUCUGGACAAGAGAGUUUUGUAAAUGGGAACAACUUAAGGCCCGACUUCAACAUGGUGGCAUGGGUAGUGCGGUCUUGACAACUACUCGUGAUGGCGGAGUUGCUGAAAUGAUGCGUACUGUUGAAGCUUAUAAUCUCACAGCUUUGGAAGAUAUAUACAUAAAGGAAAUUAUCGAGACAACAGCAUUCAUCCAUUUUAAGAAGGGAGAGGAAAAGCCCGCCGUGUUGAUGAAUAUGGUUGACGAGAUUGUGGAGAGAUGUGUUGGCUCUCCUUUAGCUGCAACAGCACUGGGUUCUGUACUGUGUACCAAGACCAGUAAAGAACAAUGGGAGGCUGUAUUAAGCAGAAGCAGGAUUUGCACCGAGGAGAAUGGGGUCUUACCAAUACUCAAGCUCAGUUUCAACUACUUGCCGUCUUGUAUGAAGCAAUGCUUUGCUUUUUGUGCUAUAUUUCCCAAAGAUUACAAGAUUGAUAUGGACAAGCUAAUCCAACUGUGGAUUGCACAUGGCUUCAUCCACGAAAAGCAAGUUCGUCUUGAAACCAUCGGCAAACAGAUUUUCAAGGAGCUGGCCUCAAGGUCAUUCUUUCAGGAUGUGGAACAAGUACAAGCAACAACUGAGGAAAUUGAAUUCAACUGGUCAUGCUAUUCCAGAACUACAUGUAAAAUCCAUGACCUUAUGCAUGAUGUUGCACUUUCAGUAAUGGAAAAGGAAUGUGCCUUGGGAAUUGAGGAACCAUACAAAAUUAAAUUUGUAGCCACAACUGAGGAACCAAGUCAGACUGAGUGGCUUACAAACACUUCUCAUCAUAUAUUUCUGUCAUGCAAGGAACCAGGAAGAAAAUUGAAUAGUUCUCUAGAGAAAAGCUCUCCAGCUAUCCAAACUCUUCUAUGUGAUGGGUUUAUGGAAAGUUCAUUGCAACAUCCAUCCAAAUACAACUCUUUGCAAGCAUUGCAGCUCUGUUCACGGAGAGGAGCAUUUCAGCUGAAACCAAAGCAUCUACAUCACCUGAGAUACCUAGAUCUCUCAAGAAGUAGAUAUAUCAAAGCACUUCCAGAAGAUGUGAGCAUUCUAUACAACCUGCAAACGUUGAACCUCUCUGAGUGUGAAUUUCUUUGUAGACUUCCAAGACAAAUCAAGUAUAUGACUGCCCUCCGUCACCUUUACACUCAUGGUUGCCCAAGGCUGGAGAGCAUGCCUCGAGACCUCAGGAAACUCACAUCCCUACAGACGCUUACAUGCUUUGUAGCAGGUAGUGGCUCUAAUUGUAGUAAUGUUGGAGAGCUCGGAAAGUUAAACCUUGGUGGUCAACUAGAGCUACGUAAUCUGGAAAAAGUGACAGAAGUGGAUGCAAAAGCAGCAAACAUCAUGAACAAGGAGCUAAGAGAAUUGAGAUUAACAUGGACCUUCAGAUGGAAUUAUUCUGAAGAUAAAACUAGCUGGCAGGAUAUUGAAGAGGAUGCAAGAGUGCUCGAGAAUCUCAAGCCUCAUGAUGCACUACAUGCCAUACGGAUACACUCAUAUGGAGCCACCACCUUCCCGACAUGGAUGGCUAUGUUGCAAGACAUUGUUGAGAUCCAUCUUUUUGAUUGUAGAAAACUGCAAUGGUUGUUCAGCGGUGAUCGUGAUAAUAAAACCUACACAUUUCCAAAACUAAAGAAGCUUACGUUGUAUGCUCUUGACUUUCUGGAAAGAUGGUGGGAGAUAGAUAAUGAUGAGAUGCACAGAGAAGAGAUGUUCCCUCAGCUUGAGAAGUUGUCCAUUAGUCACUGUGAAAAUUUGAAAGCAUUGCCAGGAUAUCUGAGCUUCCCUAAGCUCCAGAAUGUUCGUAUUGAGAAAUGUCCGAAGUUGACAACUACAGCUAAAUCACCAAAGCUCAGUGUAUUGAACAUGGAAGGACGUGAGGUAGAGUUGUUCUUGUGGGUAGCGAGACAUAUGACUUCAUUGACCAAUCUGAAACUGACUAGCAUUGAACAUAGUACAGAUACAACCUCGACGGUGGCUGAGAAUAGUUUGAGGGAAGUGGUGAACGGCAAGGAAAAAGGGAAUGAUCAAGGAUUUCCUUUAGCAGUUUUGGUGUUAAGAAACUUUAAGUCGAGUAUAAGUGUAACAGAGAUGUGCACAUGCUUUGUACACCUUCAAGAGUUGUCAAUUGAUAGUUGCCAUGCGCUUGUCCACUGGCCAGAAACAUUGUUCGAAGGAUUGGUAUCCUUGAGGAGGCUAGAGAUUAAAAAUUGCGAUAAUUUGACUGGAUAUGCGCAAGCUUCUGCUGAGCCAUCAGCAUCACCAGAAACCAGUCAGCUCCUGCCACGUCUAGAGUCUCUAACGAUACGGAGUUGUGAAAACUUGGUUGAGCUCUUCAACGUCCCUGCUUCUCUCAGGAAAAUGCACAUUAUAAGUUGUAGUAAGCUUGAGUCCACAUUCGGCCGGAAGCUGCAGCAGUCAGUAUCAUCGAUUCAUCAAGGGUCAUCCAGUAUAGAAGCAUUAUCAUUAUACUACUGUGAUGGCUUAACAGGGGUCCUCUAUUUUCCCCCGUCCCUCAAGAGACUAGAGAUUGUUAAUUGUGGUGGGUUAGCAUCUCUGGAAUCCUGCUCUCCCGAGCUCCAAUCCUUGAAGUUCCUCGAGCCUGUGAACUGCAAUUCACUGUCAUCCCUACCGGAUGUGCCGCAAGCGUACUCAUCUCUCCAAUCUCUUUGCAUUAUACGCUGCCCUGGUCUGAAGACGCUCCCUGCAAGCCUGCAACAAUUCCUUGGCAGCAUCCUGCAGGAAUGCGUAGAUGCCCAUUACUAUGGAAAUAAGCCAAGGCCUAUGCUGCUGAAGCCCAAGACAUGGAAGUAUGUCUGCAAAGGUUGA
rnacentral:rRNA from 1 species